GAUAAUAUAGCUCAGUGGUAGAGUGCUUGCCUAGCAUGCAUGAGGCUGUGGAUUCAAUCUCUAGUACUGCCC
rnacentral:tRNA from 1 species